UAGAGUUCUUGUAGUUGAAUUAC
rnacentral:tRNA from 1 species